AGGGCCACGGCACGGCGCACAUCACGUCGCGUAUCCCGCAAGCCGUCAAUGCGGCAGGCGGCGCGGAAUGCGCGCGCAGUUUGAUUCAAAGCGCCAAUACCGUGCUGCAAGUCGACCACGCGCCUCGUUCUGCCGAAUAUCGACGCGCAAACGUGAACACACACCCGGAAUAUUGUUCAAAAAUAGUGAUCAAAUCCACAUUUUGUGAACAACAAAACAAAAACAUCUGAGGAGACCGCUAGUGGUUGGAGACUCCGCUGUGUUGGAAUAUAUUUUUUAAACGAUUUGAAUGUUAAGAAUCGAGCGAUAGUCCGUUAGUGAUGGGCGUGCGAAGCGGGCGGAUUAGAGGCCACAGAACGGGCGGAUAGCGGAGAGCAGUCGGCAUGUGGUUGCGGGCUGCGCGGGCGCUGAGAAGCGUGCGGCGGGCGA
rnacentral:lncRNA from 1 species